AGUGAACGCUGGCGGUAGGCCUAACACAUGCAAGUCGAACGGCAGCACAGUAAGAGCUUGCUCUUACGGGUGGCGAGUGGCGGACGGGUGAGGAAUACAUCGGAAUCUACUUUUUCGUGGGGGAUAACGUAGGGAAACUUACGCUAAUACCGCAUACGACCUACGGGUGAAAGCAGGGGAUCUUCGGACCUUGCGCGAUUGAAUGAGCCGAUGUCGGAUUAGCUAGUUGGCGGGGUAAAGGCCCACCCAGGCGACGAUCCGUAGCUGGUCUGAGAGGAUGAUCAGCCACACUGGAACUGAGACACGGUCCAGACUCCUACGGGAGGCAGCAGUGGGGAAUAUUGGACAAUGGGGGCAAGCCUGAUACAGCCAUACCGCGUGGGUGAAGAAGGCCUUCGGGUUGUAAAGCCCUUUUGUUGGGAAAGAAAAGCAGCAGGUUAAUACCCCGCUGUUCUGACGGUACCCAAAGAAUAAGCACCGGCUAACUUCGUG
rnacentral:rRNA from 1 species